rnacentral:rRNA from 1 species
AUUGAACGCUGGCGGCAGGCCUAACACAUGCAAGUCGAGCGAGCGGCGGACGGGUGAGUAAUGUCUGGGAAACUGCCUGAUGGAGGGGGAUAACUACUGGAAACGGUAGCUAAUACCGCAUACCAUCAGAUGUGCCCAGAUGGGAUUUGCUAGGAGGUGGGGUAACGGCUCACCUAGGCGACGAUCCCUAGCUGGUCUGAGAGGAUGACCAGCCACACUGGAACUGAGACACGGUCCAGACUCCGACGGGAGGCAGCAGUGGGGAAUAUUGCGCAAUGGGGGAAAGCCUGAUGCAGCCAUGCCGAGUGUGUGAAGAAGGCCUGCGGGUGGGAAAGCACUUUCGGCGGGGAGGCGUUACCCGCAGAAGAAGCACCGGCUAACUCCGUGCCAGCAGCCGCGGUAAUAC